GAUGAACGCUGGCGGCGUGCCUAACACAUGCAAGUCGAGCGAGAACCGCUGGAAUGACACUUCGGUAGAAUGAAAGCGGGGAAAGCGGCGGACGGGUGAGUAACGCGUAGGUAACCUGCCCCAUACACAGGGAUAGCCUAGGGAAACCUGGAUUAAUACCUGAUGAAGCAACUGGUCGCAUGACCGGCUGCCAAAGAUUUAUCGGUAUGGGAUGGACCUGCGUCUGAUUAGUGAGUUGGUGGGGUAAUGGCCUACCAAAGCGACGAUCAGUAGCCGACCUGAGAGGGUGAUCGGCCACAUUGGAACUGAGACACGGUCCAAACUCCUGCGGGAGGCAGCAGUGGGGGAUAUUGCACAAUGGGCGGAAGCCUGAUGCAGCAACGCCGCGUGAGCGAAGAAGGUCUUCGGAUCGUAAAGCUCUGUCCUGGGGGAAGAAACGAAAUGACGGUACCCCGGGAGGAAGCCCCGGCUAACUACGUGCCAGCAGCCGCGGUAAAACGU
rnacentral:rRNA from 1 species